rnacentral:rRNA from 1 species
GACGAACGCUGGCGGCGUGCUUAACACAUGCAAGUCGAACGGUGAUGCUCCAGCUUGCUGGAGUGGAUCAGUGGCGAACGGGUGAGUAACACGUGAGCAACCUGCCCCAGACUCUGGAAUAAGCGCUGGAAACGGCGUCUAAUACUGGAUACGAAACUGGCCCGCAUGGGCAUGGUUUGGAAAGUUUUUCGGUUUGGGAUGGGCUCGCGGCCUAUCAGCUUGUUGGUGAGGUAAUGGCUCACCAAGGCGACGACGGGUAGCCGGCCUGAGAGGGCGACCGGCCACACUGGGACUGAGACACGGCCCAGACUCCUACGGGAGGCAGCAGUGGGGAAUAUUGCACAAUGGGCGAACGCCUGAUGCAGCGACGCCGCGUGGGGGAUGACGGCCUUCGGGUUGUAAACCUCUUUCAGCAGGGAAGAAGCGAAAGUGACGGUACCUGCAGAAGAAGCACCGGCUAACUCCGU